rnacentral:rRNA from 1 species
UACGUAGGGGGCGAGCGUUGUCCGGAUUUAUUGGGCGUAAAGAGCUCGUAGGCGGUUCCGUAAGUCGGAUGUGAAAUCUCCACGCUCAACGUGGAGGCGCCAUUCGAUACUGCGGUGACUCGAGUCCGGUAGGGGAGUGUGGAAUUCCCGGUGUAGCGGUGAAAUGCGCAGAGAUCGGGAGGAACACCCGUAGCGAAGGCGGCUCUCUGGGACGGUACUGGACGCUGAGACGCGAAAGCGUGGGGAGCGAACAGG